UACGAAGGGGACUAGCGUUGUUCGGAAUUACUGGGCGUAAAGGGCGCGUAGGCGGAUAGUUUAGUCAGAGGUGAAAGCCCAGGGCUCAACCUUGGAAUUGCCUUUGAUACUGGCUGUCUUGAGUACGGGAGAGGUGAGUGGAACUCCGAGUGUAGAGGUGAAAUUCGUAGAUAUUCGGAAGAACACCAGUGGCGAAGGCGACUCACUGGCCCGUUACUGACGCUGAGGCGCGAAAGCGUGGGGAGCAAACAGG
rnacentral:rRNA from 1 species